CCUACGGGAGGCAGCAGUGAGGAAUAUUGGACAAUGGGCGCAAGCCUGAUCCAGCCAUGCCGCGUGCAGGAAGAAGCAUCUAUGGUGUGUAAACUGCUUUUGUACAGGAAGAAACACUCCCUCGUGAGGGAGCUUGACGGUACUGUAAGAAUAAGGACCGGCUAACUCCGUGCCAGCAGCCGCGGUAAUACGGAGGGUCCGAGCGUUAUCCGGAAUCAUUGGGUUUAAAGGGUCCGUAGGCGGUUUAAUAAGUCAGUGGUGAAAUCUGGUCGCUCAACGAUCAAACGGCCAUUGAUACUGUUAGACUUGAAUUAUAAGGAAGUAACUAGAAUAUGUAGUGUAGCGGUGAAAUGCUUAGAUAUUACAUGGAAUACCAAUUGCGAAGGCAGGUUACUACUUAUGGAUUGACGCUGAUGGACGAAAGCGUGGGGAGCGAACAGGAUUAGAUACCCUGGUAGUCCACGCCGUAAACGAUGGAUACUAGCUGUUCGGAGCAAUCUGAGUGGCUAAGCGAAAGUGAUAAGUAUCCCCACCUGGGGAGUACGUUCGCAAGAAUGAAACUUAAAUAGAUUAGUCGGCGNGNGAGAGCGACGACGACGACGAGGAGGAGGAG
rnacentral:rRNA from 1 species